rnacentral:lncRNA from 1 species
AACGAAAUGAUAUGCAGUCUUUGUGGCCAUGUACAGAUACGGAUCAUCCUCAUCCGCGAAACAGAAGUCGACGUCGCGCGCGACGGACACAUGGACAUUCGAAAAGGCCAAGAGCGACGUGACUAGCACUAACAACAACGCGCACAUUAUGUAGUGGAAACUGUCGUUCCUGCAACAAUAUGAUACCACGCAAGUGCCACCAUCGUCUCUAAGCAUCGUUGCAAAUUUCAUUUCAAUGUGAAAUCCAUUAUCCACGCCCGUCCCGCUUUAAGCGUCAUUUCGAGGAUAAUUUAAUACGCAUAUAUUCAGCGGAUAAACAAGAAAAUAUUCAGUUCUUGUUUUUUACAUAAUAGAGAUGCCUCAGAGGAAAUCAUUAUUAUGGAAAUAGAGCAAAAAAUACACUUCCGAUCACGUAUUCCGACAAUAAAUGGCGAAGCGAUAGACGGCGGGGGCACGCGACAAUUGUUCAUGAAAGUAGGACGACGACGCUGGUCACGCUGGAUGAUUCUUAGAGCAGGAGAGCAGCGUAAUUAUAUUCGUGUGUUUUACGCGAGCGCGAGUUCGUUCGUUUUCAGUGAAAUCUGACAAUGUAUCGGAGUAGAUCAGCGGCG